rnacentral:lncRNA from 1 species
AUGAUUGUUUGCAUUCACUUUAAAUGAAUCCAGCAGGAACUAACUUCAGAACUAACUUCACUUUUCAGGCAGCUUACUUAACCGCUUUUCCUUUCCAUGAUCUCUGAGGGGCACAGCAGAUUUUCUCCUCUGUGUCAAGCUCUCCCACUGACAGCACCACAGCUGUUGAUUGCAUCAGGAAGAUUUUCAGGAAGCAAAAUUUCCUCCGACACUUUUGGGUCUUCUACCACCAGGCCGAGUCUCCCAGCUAAUCAUAAUUUUUCUCUCUUGGGAGCUGCUUCUCUGAUUUUCCUUAAACAGGCAACAGGAUAAAAUUCCUGAGUUACACUCCCCCAGGGAGGUGUGCAGUCAGUACCAGCCGGGGGAACGAGGUUAAUCUAGAGACUCCUCCCGCAGAUGAAGCCUCCCUUUUCAUACACCACCCUCACUGAAUAUGAAUAAUUCACAGUGGGUUUCAUACCCUGGUAACACCAAUCCUCCUGUAGUUUGUGCUGCUGCAGUACAGCAGUGAUCACUUGUUUAAAAAAAAAAACAAAACAAACAAUCAGGACAGUAAACUUUUUCAGUUUAGUAGCACGAAACGAUUCUGGUAUUUAGGGAACUGCCUCUCAACGAGGAAGAUGAGCAAAAAGCAGGACUUAGCGAUACCUUCAUCUAUACAGGGCAACUCAAUGACUUCCAAAAAGCAGCAGGAAGGAAGGCACAGCUACAGCUGUGUGCGCUCACGGCAAAACCUUGAACUCUGGAGCUGCCGGUCCCCGCAGGCGCCGAGGGCUGCGCUGCCCGCUCGUACCCCCAAGAGCCCGGGUGGUAACACGAACGCCAAGCCGGGGACGGCGGCGGGGGGUGGUGGGGGUGCCCGAAACAGGGAGGCUGGCCGCCUCUCCUGCCCCAGCAGCGCCAAGGGGCCGCGACUCGAUCGGCUGGAAGCACACCCGCGGCGAGGCUGCUCGGCGGGGAGGCGGCGGCGGCGGCGGCGGCGGGAACCCGCUCUGCCUCACGCCGUGCCCGGGCAACUCUCCCCGCACCCCAGCCCGCCCGCCGCCGCCACUGACCUUGCCUCCCGUCGGGGAAGAGCGAUCCGCCGGCCGGCGGGGCCCUGCCCAGGCAGGGCGCUUGGAGGUGAAGGACGAGGAGCCAGAAGGAGACCUGUGCCGCCCGGCUCCGCGGGACACAUGACAUGCUAA